UACGAAGGGUGCAACCGUUGCUCGGAAUUAUUGGGCGUAAAGCGCACGUAGGCGGCCUAGCAAGUCGGAUGUGAAAUCCCUCGGCUCAACCAAGGAAGUGCAUCCGAAACUGCUGUGCUUGAGUACUAAAGAGGAUCGCGGAAUUCCCGGUGUAGAGGUGAAAUUCGUAGAUAUCGGGAGGAACACCAGUGGCGAAGGCGGCGAUCUGGGUAGAUACUGACGCUGAGGUGCGAAAGCGUGGGGAGCAAACAGG
rnacentral:rRNA from 1 species